GAUGAAGAACCGCAGCGAAAUGCGAUAAGUAAUGUGAAUUGCAGAAUUCAGUGAAUCAUCGAAUCUUUGAACGCACAUUGCGCCCGCCAGUAUUCUGGCGGGCAUGCCUGUCCGAGCGUCAUUUCAACCCUCAAGCCCCAGCCGGCUUGGUGUUGGGGACCGGCCCCGGCCGCCCCCCAAAUGCAGUGGCGACCUCGCCGCAGCCUCCCCUGCGUAGUAGCACAACCUCGCACCGGAGCGCGGAGACGGUCACGCCGUAAAACGCCCAACUUCUCAGAGUUGACCUCGGAUCAGGUAGGAAUACCCGCUGAACUUAAGCAUAUCAAUAAGCGGAGGA
rnacentral:misc_RNA from 1 species